GAUGAACGCUGGCGGCGUGCCUAAUACAUGCAAGUCGAGCGAACAGACGAGGAGCUUGCUCCUCUGACGUUAGCGGCGGACGGGUGAGUAACACGUGGAUAACCUACCUCUAAGACUGGGAUAACUUCGGGAAACCGGAGCUAAUACCGGAUAAUAUAUUGACCCGCAUGGUUCUAUAGUGAAAGACGGUUUUGCUGUCACUUAUAGAUGGAUCCGCGCCGCAUUAGCUAGUUGGUAAGGUAACGGAUUACCAAGGCAACGAUGCGUAGCCGAACUGAGAGGGUGAUCGGCCACACUGGAACUGAGACACGGCCCAGACGCCUACGGAAGGCACCAGGAGGGAAUCGUCCGGAAGGGGCGAAAGCCUGACGGAGCAACGCCGCAGGAGUGAUGAGGGUCUUCGGAUCGUAAAACUCUGUUAUUAGGGAAGAACAAAUUUGUAAGUAACAAGGCGCGUCUUGAAGGUACCUUGUCAGAGAGCCACGGCUAACUACGUG
rnacentral:rRNA from 1 species